UACGUAGGGGGCAAGCGUUGUCCGGAAUCAUUGGGCGUAAAGCGCGCGUAGGCGGCCCGGUAAGUCCGCUGUAAAAGUCCAGGGCUCAACCCUGGAAUGCCGGUGGAUACUGUCGGGCUAGAGUCCGGAAGAGGAGAGUGGAAUUCCCGGUGUAGCGGCGAAAUGCGCAGAUAUCGGGAAGAACACCCGUGGCUAAGGCGGCUCUCUAGUACGGUACUGACGCUGAGACGCGAAAGCGUGGGGGAGCGAACAGG
rnacentral:rRNA from 1 species